rnacentral:rRNA from 1 species
GAAGGGGGGACGGAGAAGGCUAUGUUGGCCGGGCGACGGUUGUCCCGGUUUAAGCGUGUAGGCUGGUUUUCCAGGCAAAUCCGGAAAAUCAAGGCUGAGGCGUGAUGACGAGGCACUACGGUGCUGAAGCAACAAAUGCCCUGCUUCCAGGAAAAGCCUCUAAGCAUCAGGUAACAUCAAAUCGUACCCCAAACCGACACAGGUGGUCAGGUAGAGAAUACCAAGGCGCUUGAGAGAACUCGGGUGAAGGAACUAGGCAAAAUGGUGCCGUAACUUCGGGAGAAGGCACGCUGAUAUGUAGGUGAAGUCCCUUGCGGAUGGAGCUGAAAUCAGUCGAAGAUACCAGCUGGCUGCAACUGUUUAUUAAAAACACAGCACUGUGCAAACACGAAAGUGGACGUAUACGGUGUGACGCCUGCCCGGUGCCGGAAGGUUAAUUGAUGGGGUCAGCGCAAGCGAAGCUCUUGAUCGAAGCCCCGGUAAACGGCGGCCGUAACUAUAACGGUCCUAAGGUAGCGAAAUUCCUUGUCGGGUAAGUUCCGACCUGCACGAAUGGCGUAAUGAUGGCCAGGCUGUCUCCACCCGAGACUCAGUGAAAUUGAACUCGCUGUGAAGAUGCAGUGUACCCGCGGCAAGACGGAAAGACCCCGUGAACCUUUACUAUAGCUUGACACUGAACAUUGAGCCUUGAUGUGUAGGAUAGGUGGGAGGCUUUGAAGUGUGGACGCCAGUCUGCAUGGAGCCGGCCUUGAAAUACCACCCUUUAAUGUUUGAUGUUCUAACGUGGACCCGUGAUCCGGGUUGCGGACAGUGUCUGGUGGGUAGUUUGACUGGGGCGGUCUCCUCCUAAAGAGUAACGGAGGAGCACGAAGGUUGGCUAAUCCUGGUCGGACAUCAGGAGGUUAGUGCAAUGGCAUAAGCCAGCUUGACUGCGAGCGUGACGGCGCGAGCAGGUGCGAAAGCAGGUCAUAGUGAUCCGGUGGUUCUGAAUGGAAGGGCCAUCGCUCAACGGAUAAAAGGUACUCCGGGGAUAACAGGCUGAUACCGCCCAAGAGUUCAUAUCGACGGCGGUGUUUGGCACCUCGAUGUCGGCUCAUCACAUCCUGGGGCUGAAGUAGGUCCCAAGGGUAUGGCUGUUCGCCAUUUAAAGUGGUACGCGAGCUGGGUUUAGAACGUCGUGAGACAGUUCGGUCCCUAUCUGCCGUGGGCGCUGGAGAACUGAGGGGGGCUGCUCCUAGUACGAGAGGACCGGAGUGGACGCAUCACUGGUGUUCGGGUUGUCAUGCCAAUGGCACUGCCCGGUAGCUAAAUGCGGAAGAGAUAAGUGCUGAAAGCAUCUAAGCACGAAACUUGCCCCGAGAUGAGUUCUCCCUGACCCUUUAAGGGUCCUGAAGGAACGUUGAAGACGACGACGUUGAUAGGCCGGGUGUGUAAGCGCAGCGAUGCGUUGAGCUAACCGGUACUAAUGAACCGUGAGGCUUAACCUUACAACGCCGAAG